rnacentral:rRNA from 1 species
UACGUAGGGUGCAAGCGUUAAUCGGAAUUACUGGGCGUAAAGCGUGCGCAGGCGGCUUUGCAAGACAGAUGUGAAAUCCCCGGGCUUAACCUGGGAACUGCAUUUGUGACUGCAUGGCUGGAGUGCGGCAGAGGGGGAUGGAAUUCCGCGUGUAGCAGUGAAAUGCGUAGAUAUGCGGAGGAACACCGAAGGCGAAGGCAAUCCCCUGGGCCUGCACUGACGCUCAUGCACGAAAGCGUGGGGAGCAAACAGG